GACGAACGCUGGCGGCGUGCCUAAUACAUGCAAGUCGAACGCAGUGGGGACGGGUGAGUAACACGUGGGUAACCUCCCAUCAGAGGGGAUAACACUUGGAAACAGGUGCUAAACCGAUACUGAUGGAUGCACCCGCGGUGCAUUAGCUAGUUGGUGAGGUAACGGCUCACCAAGGCCACGAUGCAUAGCAGACCGGAGAGGGGGAUCGGACACACGGGGACGGAGAAACGGCCCAGACUCCGACGGGAGGAAGCAGUAGGGAAUCUCGGGCAAUGGAAGAAAGCCGGACCGAGCAACGCGGGUGGAGGGAAGAAGGUUUUCGGAUCGUAAAACUCUGUUGUUAGGGAAGCGGUAUCUAACCAGAAAGCCACGGCUAACUACGUGCCAGCAGCCGCGGUAAUAC
rnacentral:rRNA from 1 species